GAUGAACGCUGGCGGUCUGCUUAACACAUGCAAGUCGAACGGAAUCCUUCGGGAUUUAGUGGCGGACGGGUGAGUAACGCGUGAGAAUCUGCCUUCAGGUUCGGGACAACAGCUGGAAACGGCUGCUAAUACCGGAUGUGCCGAGAGGUGAAAGCUUUAGUGCCUGAAGAUGAGCUCGCGUCUGAUUAGCUAGUAGGAGUGGUAAUGGCACCCCUAGGCGACGAUCAGUAGCUGGUCUGAGAGGAUGAUCAACCACACUGGGACUGAGAAACGGCCCAGACGCGUACGGGAGGCAGCAGUGGGGAAUUUUCCGCAAUGGGCGCAAGCCUGACGGAGCAAGACCGCGUGAGGGAAGAAGGUCUGUGGAUUGUAAACCUCUUUUGAUGGGGAAGAAGACAGUGACGGUACCCAUCGAAUCAGCCUCGGCUAACUCCGUGCCAGCCGCCGCCGUAA
rnacentral:rRNA from 1 species